GUAAAUAUUGUAAAAAUUGAAAUAGCUACCCUAUUUUUGUAUAUAGUUACGUUAUUUUUAUAUAUAGUGACUCUAUGUAAAUAUCGUCAAUUUAGAUAAAGUUACUUUAUUUUAGCAUGUAGUGACCUUUAAAACGUUGCGUUUGUCAAAAAAAAAAAAAAAAAAAAAAAGACCUUUAAAACGGUUGAAUUGAUUAUAUGUAAGGUUGGAAUGAUCUUAGGGCUUUAGAACCGUCUGAUCUUUUGUGCUAGUAAUGAAUAGCUAAGAUUGCUUGUUUUUAGUUUUCACCAUAAGCUCUGUUUUUAGCGGAACCUCCCCGUAUAAUAACUAGCUGAAUAAUGGACGGAUCAGAUCAUUUAAUAUCUAGAAUUCAGGAUCAUGCGAUUAGCUCUUCACACUCCAAAUUCUCUCUCCUCCAACUAAUCUCUCUCCUCCAUUGAUGCUAGUGCUUUGAGUUCUCCAUUAAACCAGUUUUCGAGCCUUUUCUUCUCCAUUAAAGCGGUAUUCUUGCUCUCUGUACUUCAUUGAAGUAGCUUGUGAGAUAAGAUGUUUUUUAUUUCUCUAUUUUCGUGCUCGUCCAUGGUGUUGUAUAAUUUGGUGAUUUCACGUCGAAUUGUCUGAAAUUUACAGGUACAGGGGUUGGCUUGGGUGUUACAAUUAGGGAUGAGUAAGGGAAGAUUAUGGCUGUUAUGGUGCAAAGAUUGAAUGCAUAGGUGGCUGUUGUCUGUUGUCAUGGCAGAAUCCUUGCUGUUAUGGUGCAAAAAUAGUAAGCAAUGUACUUCUGAUCCAUUUCUAUUUGUUCAGUUUUGUUUGCUUAUACAUUGCAGCCUGUUGCUAUAAAAAGUGGUUGUUUACUUUGCAAUUUUCAGAGCAUGAAGAAUUUGGCAUUAAACAUCAUAAACUACUAGUGCAAUUUUCCUCUGAAAGCUCACAAAGGCAAGCCUUAUCUACUUUGCUAACAUUUAAGCAGUAAUUUAAAGAGCAUGAGAAUCAGAUUGUAUAACUGAAACUUGAUCAAGAGUAGACUUGUAAACAUUCACCUCAAAACUAUCAAGAUCUGCCUCAUUGGAUUGACUUGUACGUGAACAUGCUCAUUAGAUUGGCACAAAAAUUGAUGCAAAAUCAUGGUCUGCAAUCUAUAUUGCAUGUUUAUUCUUUAAUGUAAUUACUUUUGGGCUUUGGACUGUAUUCUAGUGUGCGAGCAAGCAUUUUCUAUGGCACAGAAUUUGGAUCAGAUGGCAGAGGUGUCCUGCAAGUUGAUAUUGUUGUCAUGCAAAUUUGUGAUUGUGUUGGGAAUAUCUUAAAUAAGGGAGUUCUUAGAUAUGUUAUAUUUUUUUUUUAUUUUGGAAAAGGUUAGGAUCGGUGAGAUAUAUGACUGAUAAUGGAUAUAUUUUUUAAUCCCACCAAUUCUUUUGGGGUUUAAAAUUUAGGGAAUGAAUAAGAUUAGAAAGGUAAAUUCCUAGCUACAUCAGUUGUCUCUGAAGUAAAUUAAAAAGAAUUUAAAGUAAGUAAAAAAAAAACUUUAAAGUAAACCUAUUAGCUCAAGUGGUAUAGCACUUUGCGGAUACAUAGAGAUGUAGGUUCAAAUCCUACAUAGGUUAUUCAAAAUACGUCAAAAGCUACAUGAAUAAGCAAUUAUAAGUGACUCCGCCUUUUUUUUACCAUAAUUCAGAAAAUGGUACUUUAAAGUCGUCAAUCGAUACAAAAUAGUAAACUAAUACAUCUCAAGAGUAAAGUAAAUUAAAAUAUAUCAAAAGUAAAUCAAAUUAUCUCAAAAGUAAAUUAAAAUAUUUCUUUUGAGAUUGUACUUUGAAAGAGAAUGAGAAAUUUGUUACACAUGCCUCCAAUAUAUCUAAAAAAUAGUAAAUCAAAAUAAUAUUUCAAAAUUAGAAUAUCUCUUAAAUAAAUCAGAAUAGCUCGACAAGAAAUCAAAAGUAGAUCAAAAUAUCCCAAAAGUAAAUAAUAAACACUAAAAAGUAAUUAUUAAUUAAAAUAAUAAAAAUUAGUGUAUGUAUAAUCAAAUGACACAAAGCAAUGAAUAGUCGAUCUUCAUGGGUACCCUACAUCAUUGACCUUGAACUCUCUAUAAAAUGAGCCAAAACUCUACAAACAUGAAGAGUGAUCAAAUAUAAAAGAAGAAUGAGGUCAUAGUAAAGGUUUUCAUAUUUAAAGUAAAUAAAACAAUAAAAAAAAGUAACUGAAAAAAUUUAGAAAUCAGAUUUUCAAACAUAGAAACUAUUUUUUUUACGCUAAAGGGAAAUAGAUUAUAUAUUACAUCAAGGUGACAACAGCCAACCUAAACAAAAGAUUGUUCAAAGAGAUUAAAAGUACCAGCAUCCUACUACUUAGGGAAGACAUAAAAUAAACUAAGCAACAAAAAAUUAAAGCAAACAUAAUGCCAGCAAAAGACUUGCAGAGAAAGACAAGAUGAGCAUAAGGUGUUGAGCAGCCGUUAUCAUCAGGAUUAAGCCAUAGGGAUUGUUGGUAUUUCAGCAGCAUAAGUGUCAAAGAUCUCAGCAGGGGGAUAGUGGAAUAGCACCCUUUCACCAAGUUGAACUUUAGUCCUUACAAUAGUUGCUAGUUUGUGAGCCACGUAGUUAAUUGUUCUGCUAGCAUGCAAAACAGUCACUGACCAGUUUCUUUGCAAUAACUCAGCCACAUCUCUUAUAAUGUUCCCUGAUCGUGGUCUCUAAAGGAGUUAGGAUUGCUCAGCAUUUUCCCUAAAGCCUCUGCAUCUGUUUCUAGUUCCAAGAACUUGAUUUCUCCAUCCCAGGAAAUAAGGAGACCCUCCCUUAUAGUCAGAAGCUCAGCUAAAGCUGCAGACAUAGCAUUAAAAUUUAUAGCAUAACAUAUUUGCCAAGUACCCUUAUCACACCUUAAAAUGCCACCACCUCCAGCUUUGUAUAGAUUGAGUUUAGUAGCCACAUUACACAAAUGAACCUACGUAGGAUUCAAACCCACAUCUUUGUGCAUUUGCACAAUGCUCUACCAGUUGAGCAAGUAGGCUAGUGUAUCAAAGUAAAGAAAAAUCACUCUAACAUAAAUAAAAAUAUAACAAAAGUUAAAAAAAAAAAAAAAAAAAAAA